rnacentral:tRNA from 1 species
UCCCUUGUGGCUGAGUUGGUAAAGAAUCCACCUGCAAUGUGGGAGACCUGGGUAUGAUCCCUGGGAAGGGAA